rnacentral:sRNA from 1 species
UCGGAUAUGUUAUAAUAUUCUAGACAGUAAAGUUUGUGACGGUGGCUAUCCAAUCGAAAGUGAGGUGGUGCAUAUGCAUGUACUUCCAAAAGCCAAGAAAGGAGACGCCUUUUUGCCUGUUGAAGCAGCUCUAGGGUUAAUGAUUAGUUUCGGUUCUUUAAUCGCAACAAUCAUUUUCGGUAUCCU